ACAGCUGACUUGAGUUGUCAGGAUGAGGACUGCCUUGGCAACCAGAUGUACCUGUAGGUCAGAGAUGACUGAACUCUCUUCUGUCACCGUCCCACAGCCAGCUUCCUAAGCCUGGUGGGUGGGACUUCUGAUAAGCAUUGCAAGAUGUCUGGAGCCAUGUGGUACAACCCAAAUAUAACAGCACCGGGCAGCCUGAGAGCAUUGUUCUCUGGUCACACAGGAAGUGUGUCUCUCUGAAUGUCACCCGGAGCCUUUCUGCACAAGGCAUAAUGAUGCCAGGAAAGGAAGCAGUAAGACAUUUUUGAACCACUGAGGAGAUUUUGGCACUGUGUAGUGCCCGGUAUGGGACAGCUCUGCCUUGCAGAAAGCAUAAUGGGAGCCCUCGUGAAUGAAGAUGUGCCUUUGCUGUGAAAACAGUGGUGCCUCUAAUUACAAGAGAAGCAUCUUCAGUCUUAGAGCCAAAUUCUUGAUAAGGAAAUGUCCUUGUUUAAGUGUAUCUAAUUGAGACCUGCACUCCAGCUCCUAUACAUAGGUGAUGCUCAGCAGUUGUGUGGAAGUAAAAAUGACCCAGCUGUGACUUCUCGCCCAGCUCUAUGGUGCUUUACAGCAAAGCUGAUGAAGCCUAGAGGUGUCUGUCCUCACAAAACCUCACUGCAUCCCUCCAUGUGUUAUUGCUGCUCUGAGGGAUGGCAGAAAGCCCCCAUGGGGAUCUCUGCUUGAUUUUGGUGAGAUUUGAUGUUAAUUUGGGAUUACAAUUGAGCCUGAAUGUGGGAAAGAAAGAAGGCAGCUGUAGGUGCCUGCUGAGCUGUGAUGUGGCUCUUCUUCUCUGCCUGCUGUCACAGGUUGCCCUGCCCUGCAGCUGCUCAGACCCACAUGUAAACACUGAGCCACCAAACUCCUCUCCAAGUUACCUUUCAUCUCCUGGGAGCAGAGAGUGAAACCAAAAUCUGCUUUGCUGUGUUCAGAGCUCGGCUGGCCACCUCUCUGUGAUGAAAGAUCCUGCUGCCUUCAUGUCGUGGCUUUGGGGCUGUCUGCUGGGCUUCUGUGCUCCCAUCGCAGUGUCUGGGGCCAAUUUUUGUGUUCUCUGACUCUAAUGCACGCAGAGUCCUUGUCCCAAACCUAGCAGUAAGGAAACUAGCUGUCUGCUCAGCUU
rnacentral:lncRNA from 7 species